rnacentral:rRNA from 1 species
AGUGAACGCUGGCGGUAGGCCUAACACAUGCAAGUCGAACGGCAGCACAGUAAGAGCUUGCUCUUACGGGUGGCGAGUGGCGGACGGGUGAAGAAUACAUCGGAAUCUACUUUUUCGUGGGGGAUAACGUAGGGAAACUUACGCUAAUACCGCAUACGACCUACGGGUGAAAGCAGGGGAUCUUCGGACCUUGCGCGAUUGAAUGAGCCGAUGUCGGAUUAGCUAGUUGGCGGGGUAAAGGCCCACCAAGGCGACGAUCCGUAGCUGGUCUGAGAGGAUGAUCAGCCACACUGGAACUGAGACACGGUCCAGACUCCUACGGGAGGCAGCAGUGGGGAAUAUUGGACAAUGGGCGCAAGCCUGAUCCAGCCAUACCGCGUGGGUGAAGAAGGCCUUCGGGUUGUAAAGCCCUUUUGUUGGGAAAGAAAGCAGCAGGUUAAUACCCCGCUGUUCUGACGGUACCCAAAGAAUAAGCACCGGCUAACUUCGUG